rnacentral:lncRNA from 1 species
AUUUUUAUUAUGGCACCCUCAACGGAGUUGGGGUGACAUAUUGUUAUUGUUCGUUUCUUUUUUUAUUAUGGCACCCUCAACGGAGUUGGGGUGACAUAUUGUUAUUGUUCGAUUCUUUUUUUCUUCUUAUUAUUAUUAUGUCACCCGAUCGACAAUGUCGGGUGACAUAUUGCUUUUCCUCUGUUUCUUUGUUAUUAUUAUUAUUCUUCCAACUAUUUUGUCCGCCACUUUUCUCGGAGCCAAUGGAACCAAUCUUAAUGAUAGUUAAGUAUAAUAGGGAACACAAAAUUGCGGGUUGCAGUAGGGUCUAAGACCAUAAAAAAUGGCUGCGGUUUCCAUGGAAACGGAACAAUUGUGAAAAAUUCCUCUUUUUUUUUUUUUAGAAUAAUU